rnacentral:lncRNA from 1 species
GAAAUGGGGGUUCCCACUUGGUUCAUCUGAUGUUUAUAUUUUUUCCAUAGCAAAAAAAAAAAAAAAAAAAAUUAACCUUUAAGUCCUGCUUUCAAAAAAAAAAAAAAAUCCUAGCUACAAAUGUGGUCCUAGAUCACGGAUUCUCCAGCUAUAUUUGUUCGUCCCCUGCUGUCAACCCCAGCUCUGGCCCCAUCUGUUCUUCCUCCGCUUGCUGCCUUUUAAAAAUCCACAUACUUACCACCGUCCAAGCACGGCUCUCCACCAAUCUGCUUUUGUUUUCUGCCAACUUGAGUCACCCCUCUCUGCCCCCAACCUCAAGACAAAUAUCGACUUGAUUCGUCUAGUUGCUUCCACUGUUCCUUUCAGACAGGCGAAAUUAGAUUGUAUGUGCUCCGGCUCCUUUUUCCUUUCUCAACCAGGGCUUUGCUUCCCGGGAAAUGGCCCCUCUGUUACUCCAGCGCCUUUUGCACAUUUAGAUUCUGCCAAAUAAAUAAAGCAGCAUGUUUCUAAACCGAAGCAGUAUAGUUUCUCUAUGUUUUAGUGACAUAUGGCUAUUAUGGCUUUAUUCUCGACGGACUGAGCCAAAAAUAAACCUUCUGGUUUCAGGCCCUAACUGAACUACUUAUGAGAUUCUCCACACUUAACCUGUUACAAUGGGUUUUGCUGUGGCUGCAGAGACAGCUUACAGAUUAUGAAUGCUUAUUGCUCUUGCAGAAGCCCCUGGCUUGUUUUCCCGUACCACUGAGUGGCUAAUGAGCACCUGCACCUCUAUCUCUAACGCCCUCUUAUGGCCUUCAUGGGCACUACACACUUGUGUUGUACAUACUUAUACUUUGGCAUGCACAUACAUACAUAUGUAGUUUUAUUUAUUAAUUUAUUCAUUUAUUUAUUUGUUUGUUUGUUUGUUUUUAAUGCAUGGUUGUAGUAAAUCACCAGGUUGGUUUGAAACAAAUACUCACAAUGGGAGAUGGAAAUUAAACAGUGUGAUAACCUUGUUUGAAUAUUUUAUGGAAAAUAAUUAUGUUAUAUAAGUAAUUAUAGUUUAAAGGGAUCUAAGAACAAUGAGUGGAAAAUGUCUGUCUACAAAUAGCACUUAGUUUUCUUUAUUCUGUAACUCUGCCAGUGGCUCACGUUGGUAAUCUUAUUCCAUUGUUCUUUUGUGCAGAACAGGGAAAUGCCACAAAUAUAUAUCAGCAAAAAAUUAAAACAUAAAUCAUGCUUUUAGAAAUGUUUAUAGUACCUGUUCAUUUUACAUUUCUAGAGAAUCCUGAAGAGAAGAAACUCUUGAUAUUAUUCCAUUUCCUCUUUAUUUUUUUUAAAGUUCUUAGCUGCUUGUUUUCAAAUUAUGGCAUAUUUGAGUCUGCCUCUGCACCAUAAUUGACAGUUUUUCUUCCAAACCAAAAAUAAAUAAAUAAAUAAAAAAUAACUAGAAGAAAGUGGAUAAUUCAGAUAACCCUAAUUACGAGGAAGCCAGGUACCAUGGGACGAUCGCCCGAUUCAUUAUAAAUCACAGCUUUAGAAUUUAGAAAAUGGUGUUAUAAAUCAUGAUGUCAUUUCUAGGUAAUCACUUUCAGGCAAUGUCUCCCCUGAGAGUGUGUGCUUGUCACAGCAGCUGUGUCAUCUGAGGGGAUGUGGGAGAGCCUGGGCAGACCAGAGUUGUUUGAUGUGUGCUGAUUGUACAGGUCUUUGUUGCAAGGCUCACUGGCAGUAAAGAUUGUUCCUUAAAGUCAAAACCAGCAUCUAUGGAAAGUAAGCAGAAUCAAAUGAGACAUUUCAAUCACUUGGGCAAUUGGUUAACUAGAAUACUUUCUAUUCUGAAAUAAAUUCACUAGAGUUUCAGAUAAGUAAGAGGAUUGCUACACAAAGCAAAGAAUUUGUACAUUUGGUGUGUGUGUGUGUGUGUAUGUAUGUGUGUGUGUGUGUGUGUGUGUGUGUGUGUGUGUGCGUGCACGUGCACUGUUUUGACAUUCUGCCACCAAUUAAUUAGCUGUUGACAUAUUUUAUUUUUUAAACUUAAUACCACUUUCUGCUCAACGUUUUUUUUUUUUUGUUUUUUGUUUUUUUGUUUUUGUUUUUUUUUUUUUUUUUUUUUUGCCAUCAGUAUAUAGUCUUUGAGUGUCUGUUAUGUGCCAGGCACUUCUCUAGGUGCUGGGGAUAAUGUGGUAAGCAGAGAGUGUGCUCACAGAACUGAUGGUUUAGUAGGAAAGCCAGAUAUUAAACAGAUAAUCACAAAAUGAUACAACUACAGUUAUUAUAAGUGAUAUGAAGACAGAAUGCAGAGCUAAGUAGCAAAAUUGGGAUAAUAGUCCCUCCUUUGCAAGACUCUGACACAUAGAAAGCACUGUGAGUGGCGGAGCUGAUUGUUAGACAUAUUGGUGGUGUUAUUACAAUGUCAUUCCAAACCAAAACAUGAUCGGGUGCGGACAGACAGUACAGACAGCGGUGCAGGCUGUGGGAGGAGCCAGUGACAUGCAAUUGAAUUCAAGUUGAGUUGUAAGGCAUGAAUGUGCCCAUUAAGUGCAGCAUAUCCAAGGUAUGGAUAGAUGGCUAUUAUACCAAUAGAUCUUUGAAUGAUUUAUGAUAAUGCUAUGCUCCUGGAUGGGUCAAGACUGCUGGGGAAGGUCAUGUUGUGAGAGGACACCUUCUAAAGCCUACUUACAUUUUUCACAGACACAGACAUAGACACAGACACACACACAGACACACACACAGACACACACACACACACACACAGAGAGAGAGAGAGAGGGGGGGGUGUCUGUAUAUGUAUAGCUGGGUCUUCUGUAGGAUCUAGGAUUUGGUUUGUAAUGAUAGAACUUCCCAGUUUUCAUAAUGAAGUUAGAAAUCAGACAGCCUCAAUCCUCAAAUAGAAAUUAUCUGGUGCUCUCCUAGAGGUGAGUGAGGCUGUUCUGUGAAUCCUCUAGCACCUGUUUAGUGUGUGUGUGUGUGUGUGUGUGUGUGUGUGUGUGUGUGUGUGCAUCCCUCAUGUGUAGCUGGCUGAGAAGAGAAUAGGGCAUACCCGCUUCUCUUCUGUGUGGGGUGGUGCCUUCAUUAUGGCAGCGCACACCCGCAUGAGAACUGUGAGGACUCCUGGGUGAUGAAUGGCAUUUCCUGGAGUGUAGACGCUAUUCUGAGAAUGCUUGCCCCAGUUCUAGGAGGACUGGAUAUAAAAGCCCUGAAAUUUCUGUUCAAAUAACAUGGAAUGGCAAUGUAGAACUCAGUAGCAUUUUCCUUACUAAUAAUAGUCAUGGCUGCUGUUGAUUCAUAAGCUAAGUGCCUUUCCUCUAAAGUCUCAUGUACUUCCUCAGAUAAGGCUGUGAGAGAGGUAGGUCACGUUAUGGUCAGUUGAUGGAUGGGAACAGAGGAAGGUGAUAUGUCUAGCAAAUAUCCCUUCACAGUGCUGAACAUGAGCUCCACUUGCGAACUCAGUCUCUUUACUAAAUUGACAGUUAUUCAUAUUUAUUCUCUUCUUGUGGAAGCCACAGAGAUACCUACUUGACUGUCUCAGGAUGGUGUGCCCUGUGGCUGGAGUUUACAUUGCAUUGACUGGUAUCCUUUGAGUUGCAAGUUACAGAAUGUGGUUGAAAUCAACAUAGAGACUUUAUUGGAAGCCGGAGAAGAAGCUCAUGGUGAGGUGCAGGACCUCAGCCAUGGUGCACACACCUUUCUUUCCAUCUUUCCAGUGUUUCCAUCUUCUUGGCAUCUUGCCUAGUAGAUUCUGUCCAUGGGGAAGCAAUUAAAGCAACCAGCAAUUCCAGGCUACUGAGCCCAGAAAUAAGAGGUUGUCUCCUUCAAGUUGUUGUAACAAAAGCCCUCGGGAUGAUUCUGAUUACGGUGGUUUGAGUCAAAUGCCCAUUUCUGAAGUGAUUACUCUGGUAGUCAGGUGAUGUCAUCCUUAAGCCUGGAGCAAAGGGAUGGGAAGUCUGCUUCACCUAAACUCCAUGGACUGAUCCUGGAGGAGCAGGUGUUCCCUAAAGAGAGAGUGAGAAAGAAGAGACCUAUGCUUACUGCAAAACCUUAUCCAUAAAAGUUUGUCAAGUAAACAAGUGAAGGAAAGAGCAUUCGCUGUAUUCCAGAGAGCAUUUCCAGGCUGCG